rnacentral:rRNA from 1 species
AUUGAACGCUGGCGGCAUGCCUUACACAUGCAAGUCGAACGGCAGCACGGGUGCUUGCACCUGGUGGCGAGUGGCGAACGGGUGAGUAAUACAUCGGAACGUACCUUAUCGUGGGGGAUAACGCAGCGAAAGCUGUGCUAAUACCGCAUACGCCCUGAGGGGGAAAGCGGGGGAUCGCAAGACCUCGCGCGAUUAGAGCGGCCGAUGCCUGAUUAGCUUGUUGGUGGGUAAAAGCCCACCAAGGCGACGAUCAGUAGCUGGUCUGAGAGGACGAUCAGCCACACUGGGACUGAGACACGGCCCAGACUCCUACGGGAGGCAGCAGUGGGGAAUUUUGGACAAUGGGGGCAACCCUGAUCCAGCAAUGCCGCGUGAGUGAAGAAGGCCUUCGGGUUGUAAAGCUCUUUUGUCAGGGAAGAAACACCGGCUCUAACACAGUCCGGGAAUGACGGUACCUGAAGAAUAAGCACCGGCUAACUACGUGACAGCAGCCGCCGUAA